AUGCGAUAAGUAAUGUGAAUUGCAGAAUUCAGUGAAUCAUCGAAUCUUUGAACGCACAUUGCGCCCGCCAGUAUUCUGGCGGGCAUGCCUGUUCGAGCGUCAUUUCAACCCUCAAGCCCCCGGGCUUGGUGCUGGGGAUCGGCCGUCACGGGCCGGCCCCGAAAUCGAGUGGCGGUCUCGCUGUAGCCUCCUCUGCGUAGUAGCAACACCUCGCACUGGAACGCGGCGCGGCCACGCCGUAAAACCCCCAACUUCUGAAGGUUGACCUCGGAUCAGGUAGGAAUACCCGCUGAACUUAA
rnacentral:misc_RNA from 1 species